AUCAUGCGAACAAACUCUGCAACCAACAAGAAAAGACAGGACUGAAGCAGAAAACAUCCAUGGACCCCAGCCCAGCUCUCAUUCCCUGGAGAUACCACGCAGCCAGAGUGACACUGAGGGCCCGCAUGCUGCCAGUAGCCUUGUUUGCACCAGCAACUCCUUGGAACAAAUUAUUGCGCGUUACCUCCCUUCGCUGUAAUUUCAGAGCACGUUGGUUUGUAGCCUUGGGAUGACAGCAGCAGCUCUCAGUCAGCCUGCCACUUGGAGGAGACCCAGUGCUGCAGAGCGCUAGUGUUCUGAUACGUGGACCCAGAGCAUGCAAAUCUUCCUCUCUGCUUCCACCUCCGAGCUGAAGUUCUGACUCACACGAGAGCAGAUGGACAGGGAGCAUUCAUCCCUUCUCACCUUCAAAGUCAACA